rnacentral:rRNA from 1 species
GACAGAGGGUGCAAACGUUGUUCGGAAUUACUGGGCGUAAAGCGUGUGUAGGCGGCUAAGUAAGUCGGAUGUGAAAGCCCGGGGCUCAACCUCGGAAGUGCACCCGAAACUGCCUAGCUUGAGAAUCGGAGAGGUUGGUGGAAUUCUCGGUGUAGAGGUGAAAUUCGUAGAUAUCGAGAGGAACAUCGGUGGCGAAGGCGGCCAACUGGACGAAUUCUGACGCUGAGACACGAAAGCGUGGGGAGCAAACAGG